AUGGCAUCAUCUUCAUCAACUUCAUGGCAUCUGAUUAAAUUAUUCCCACAUCCCUCUAUACAAAACUGGCUGCAACACCCUCACAGAGAGCUGGAUCUCCCCAGUGAUCUAAUGCUGGUGCUUAACUCUGAAUGAGCCACUAGCAAAAAACAAAAGGCAAAAAACAAGACAGGAAAUGCAGAAUCUGCUGCCGUGGGGGGUGACUUUACAAAUUCUAUUAUUUUAUUUCCCCACAGAACACAGAAUCAGGCCAUAAGCCUGAUUUUGUUUUGCUUUGUGAUUUUGAUUUUGUUUUUGGUUUUCAUCAGUCAAGCAAUUCGAAGGAAUCACUUGCAAUUCCCAACACAGCCUUGGCUAUGAGCGCUCCUUAAAGAAAUGGACAGGAAUUCCUCCCAGAGGCUGAGUUUCACAUAUUGCUCGAGCCAAAGAGAAGCUCCAGCCUCCUUGGAAAGGGCCUUUUGGAACCAUCAUUUCUGCUGGAGAGCACUUAAAUCCAGGGAGCAGAGGACUGUGCUAGCAAAGCAGGAAUCGAUGCCACGUGCCAUGAAAUACACUGGAAUUCCAGCACACAUCCCAUGCUCCUGCAAAGCCCACUCCAAACUAUGCCACAGGAGCCAUGCUGGAUAUCAGGGAGAAUUCCUUCCCCAAAAGGGCUGCCCAGGCCUGGCACAGAUCUGCUUUCAGCUACACCACAGUCACAUUAAGAUGACCUGCAUGGUGGGAAAAAAAGGGAAUAAAAAGAAAGUGCCCAACACACCAGUCAGAGGAUUUAGCCACGGAAAACUCAAGUUGCUGGCAUUCUUGGAUAUUAAGGUUAAACCCAUUUUCUAAAAAGCCUGGCUUGCAAUUCAAGAAAUUGAAAGCACAGAAAUAAAUCACAUUUAUAAAUGUGAGAUGCUUAAUGCAGCAAAUAAAUAUUUUCCUAAGUUUAGUUAUUUCUGUUCCCUGUGGAAGUUUGAAUUUUGAAGGACUAUUUCAGUGCAGCCCUGUACACCUGCCAGCACUGCAAAUCACACUGUUUUCCCUGUACAGCUAAUCCCAGGAUCUUUUGGUGGAAUUCUCCUCAGGGGGAAUCUUGCACUUGUUUGAACAGAACUGCACUUUGGUAAGGAUAAGCUCAGCCUAAGCUAAACUUUCUAUCCCACUUCCUCUUGUCUCCUUCUGCCAGAAGCCCCGAGCCCCUCCGGACGAGGCCAUUCCAUGCUGGAUGUGCAGCGCCUCCCACAACAGGAAC